GCGGCUGUAGCUCAGCUGGUUAGAGCGCUUGCCUGUGACGCAGGAUGUCGCGAGUUCGAAUCUCGUCAGCCGCCCCA
rnacentral:tRNA from 2 species